GUUCGGUUUCUUUACAGGUUUAAAAGGUAUUUCAUAUUGCACCGACCAUUUUGAAAAUCACUAUAAAAUCUUAUAUCGCUGGUACCUGGCCCCGUCUAGAUUACAUAACAUGAACAAUAUGUAUUCGGACCGAUGUUGGAGAGACUGUGGGGGAUUGGGCAAUAUGGCCCAUAUCUGGUGGUUCUGCCCCAAGUUAAUUAAUU